rnacentral:rRNA from 1 species
AGUGAACGCUGGCGGUAGGCCUAACACAUGCAAGUCGAACGGCAGCACAGUAAGAGCUUGCUCUUACGGGUGGCGAGUGGCGGACGGGUGAGGAAUACAUCGGAAUCUACUUUUUCGUGGGGGAUAACGUAGGGAAACUUACGCUAAUACCGCAUACGACCUACGGGUGAAAGCAGGGGAUCUUCGGACCUUGCGCGAUUGAAUGAGCCGAUGUCGGAUUAGCUAGUUGGCGGGGUAAAGGCCCACCAAGGCGACGAUCCGUAGCUGGUCUGAGAGGAUGAUCAGCCACACUGGAACUGAGACACGGUCCAGACUCCUACGGGAGGCAGCAGUGGGGAAUAUUGGACAAUGGGCGCAAGCCUGAUCCAGCCAUACCGCGUGGGUGAAGAAGGCCUGCGGGUUGUAAAGCCCUUUUGUUGGGAAAGAAAAGCAGCAGGUUAAUACCCCGCUGUUCUGACGGUACCCAAAGAAUAAGCACCGGCGAACUGCGU